UACGGAGGGUGCAAGCAUUGAUCGGAAUUACUGGGCGUAAAGGGCGCGUAGGCUGUCGAAGAAGUCAGAUGUGAGAUUCCGGGGCUCAACCCCGGAGCUGCAUUUGAAACUCUUUGGCUAGAGUACAGUUAGGGUAAACGGAAUUCCACGUGUAGCGGUGAAAUGCGUAGAUAUGUGGAAGAACACCGGUGGUGAAGACGGUUUACUGGGCUGAAACUGACGCUGAGGCGCGAAAGCUAGGGGAGCAAACAGG
rnacentral:rRNA from 1 species